rnacentral:tRNA from 2 species
GUCUGGGUAGUUUAGGUGGAAAAGCUCUUGUAUAGCACACAAGAGUCCUGGGUUCAAAUCCCAGCCGAGUACG